GGAUGCAAUCAUACCAGCACUAAAGCACCGGAUCCCAUCAGAACUCCGUAGUUAAGCGUGCUUGGGCGAGAGUAGCACUAGGAUGGGUGACCUCCUGGGAAGUCCUCGUGUUGCAUUCC
rnacentral:rRNA from 1 species